GGCAUUAUGAAAAUAUUUGCUUCGUCCUCCGGCACCGGCCAAGCAGACUCCACAUCCAAUCGCCCACGCCUCCUCUCGACCCAGGCACAUCGCAUCCUUCCCUCACCCCUGCCGCCUCUAUGCCACUCCUAACCCUUUCUCUUCUCAAUCCGGCUCCAUGGAGGUGGCCGGCAGGGAGGACGAGGAUGUGGAGGAGGGCGCUGCCGAUGGCGCCAGAAGCAGCUCGACAAGAACCACCGUCACGCGGAGGCAAGUCGCCAUCGACACGGCCUCUUCGUCUGCGCCAUCAAGGGCCAACAGCUCCAGAUCCGGGAGCAUCUUCCCGGAGGCGGAGCCGGCGACUCCUGAUGCACCUGGUGAUGGCCGGGGUAGCGAUCCAGUCGACCUUCUGGAUGUUGGCUUCCUCACUAUGCUGCAACCACCUCCUCCGCAGGUGGACGAGUGCUACGAGCCGGCAGUUCCUGAAAAUUUUCUUGCAACCGGUUGAGGUUUUUCUCUGACCAUUCCUCCGAGAUUCCGGUUUUUUUUAACACUGUUUGUGAAAAGAGAGGUGAGAAAGGAAGUGCUGGACUAGCUGUUGCGAUGGGGAUUAAUUCAAAAGAUUAGAGGAGAUAAGUCAGCAAAGAUUUAGGUGAUGUUCCUGCUGCUAAUGUGUAUGCGACUGAAAAGUCAGAGGGUAGAAGAGAAAAUUUUGCUGCUAAUGCAUAUACAAAGAGAGAGGGUUGAUGUUGCUAUUUUGUUCCCUAUUAGAAUUGGUCGCUCUAUGGGAUUCUUAUCGCAUUUUCUUGAUCUGGGGUGAUUUUGUGUCCUUUUAACUGAUGCAUGUCGUGUGUGGGUUCUGUGGGGAUUCCACCAUUAGCAGAAAGAUCAAGGCAAUGUGAUAACUUUAUGAGGACAUAUUUUGUGUCUAAAUCUGCUGAGUUAUAUGAUGUGUAACAUGGCAGUGUUGCUGAAUGGAAGGAGGUAAUUUGCUUGCUCUUUCUAAAUUUGUUGGUUUCUUCAUGCUGUAUUGAUUAAUAUUGUAAUAUUUAAUAUUGUUUUGUCGGCUCCCUUGUUGUUGUGAUCUUCGUGUUGAAAAGGCAGUACGAACACUCGAUUAGAGGAUCCUGCUAGGCCUCUCUACCUCAUAGAAUUUGAUAUGGGUUGCCUUGUUCCUCUCAUUCUUAUUCUUCUCAGAAUUUAGGGUUGGGCGUUGAACAUACAUGCACAGGUUGGUUUCAGUUUUCUGUGUAAACUGAAGCAGGGGAUAAGUCAAUAUACAUAUGUCGUGUUCCAGAUUAGAAAUUAAGAGAAGAGAGAGAGAAACGAUUGGUUAGUAAAAUAUGUAGCUGCAAGUUUACAUAGUGGAAUUGCUGACCAAAGUUUUUCUCUAAUGUACAUUUCGGAAAUUCCUAAUACUUAAAACUUGUUUUUCAGCCCGUUUUCUGUCAUCAGAAAAUACAAAUAGCAUUUUUUUAAUCAGUUAACAGUAUGAACAGUCAGCUAACAAUACAAAUAUGGUAGCAUUUUUCAGCCUAUUACUUACUGAAUGCGAGUCAUUGGCAUUUUUUCAGUCGGUUAACAAACAGUUUUUCAGUUAGUUAACAAAUAGCAACACUUCAGAAGCUUUUUUAGAUAAGCUACAGAGAUAAGCAACAGUUUUUCAAUCAGUUAACAAACAGCAGCACAACAGUUUUUCAGUCACCUGAUCUUUGUCCAAUUUUUUCUCGCUUGUUAAAGGUCACCAUUGUAUUCGACCUGGGAACCUACAUACAGAUUUUCAUCUAUGAUAUUUCAGCAUCUUCUAUGCUUCCAAUCUGUUAAUUUAAUUUUACUUAUAAACGGCACAACCUUCCCUUCUCCUUUUUCGUGUGUAGAAUUGAUGAUUGAUGUAGUUUCACUGAAUCAAAAUACUGAUGCCUUUUCCCUUCUCCUUGACAGCUUUGCGAGAGCUAGGAAAGUAUUGGUGGAAUCUCAUGAAGAAGAGAGACAGAUAAUGUUUGAGGUGAAUUCCUUCACCUGCCCUGCUUAUGGGAAAUUCUGCAAUGAUGCCCAGCGGCACACCACUCUCAAGUCUGAGAUGAAUUCCUUCACCAGAGGUUCUCCUUCGUGAGCUACGUCAGCGCUCAGAAGGCAUGCAUCGAAGCCCUUGACGGCUGGUUGUCCAAGUUCAUCCUAACAGACACCAUUUGUUACUCCCGGGGGAUCUCCUUGAUUGCGCCCGACAGGGCUGGCACGCCGCCUCUGGUGGUGAUCAUGAGUGGCACACCAUGCUGUCGACGACUGGAUCGAUCCUCCUCACUAGUGACUCCGGCAUAGGACUUGGCGAUGGGGAGAGGUCGUUCAGCGCUGCGGAGAGCUGGUGCCAAGAACUAACUGUUGAUGUGGAAUCAUAUUUAUUAAAUAAUUAUCAGUUUGACUUAUUCGCUUGUAUUCAAACUGUACUGCAUUUUUGUUUGAGUCAUGUUUUUUCAUGUUCAUGAUAGUUCUUAUAUACUGUGCUUCUCAUAAUUUGGGUGGGACUUUUUAUAGAGGUAACCUUUGGUAUUAUUGAGUGGUUUUCAACUAAUUUGUGAAAGCAAUUGGUUUUGUUUUCCGUAAUCAGAUGUAGAAUUUGCAUAGUAGAAGGUAUCAAAGCGAUGCAUAUAUUGUGAAAUGUGUCUAUCUAGCUGGUCUUAGUUUCAGUUAGAUAACUUUAUGUUCAUUGAUCCUGAGUAUAAUGGCUUCGUUUUUUUGUCCUGCUGUAAGCAAUUCUUUAUUGUGUGGAGUUUGUCAGUAUAAUUACUUGAUGAAUUUGGUUAUUUUUCAACAGAUAGCUGAAGAAGAUUAGGUGAUUUGGCGAUUCAAUUGCUGAAAAUGUUGCAUGCAAUGGAGAGCCAUAUAAGUGUGCUUGCAGUGUCUACUAUUGAUUCUAUGCAUCGUUCAGUUCAAAAGAGUAUAGGACAGGUAUCAUACCUACAGAACUGAAUGUACCAUGAAAUAAUCUUGAAUAAUCAACCAUAUGGUUCAACUGAACACAUGUUUAUUAAUUCAGUAACUAAGUUAUGUUUUCCGAUUCGAUAAGUUAUCCCAUAAGAUAAAUUUAAAUAGAUUAAUUACUGAUCAAAUACAUUUUAGGUAUUUCAUAGAAUACUCAAGUCCUAUGCAGCAAAAUUAUAUGCCAGGUUGCCAAAAGGUGGUACUGGUAUUGUUGCAGCUGUUGACAUUAUAAAUUAGAACAUUGUCUUUGUUUGGUAAUUUGCAGAUGCAAGCGCUUCUGACUGCUAAAGUUUCUAAUUUAGAAUAAGGAGCAAGGCACUCGGUUGUAGUUCAGAUCAUAGGCUUGCUAUGACUCUCUUUUGCGAUUCAAAAUUUUAGUGCAAGAAUCUUGGCUUCUUGUGGGGUCUCUGUAGUAAAAUCUCAUUCAUCAUCAUCAACAGAUGAUUUCAUUUUGUGUAUGCUUGAGUUUAGAAAUUUUUGUCUCACUGUCCAUCGUCGACGUACCGUCCAUGAGCUGUUCAUAUAAGUCUAGUAAUAAUAUCUCUGAUUUAUUUUAAUAAUGUACAUUUCCACCAAUGCAUUUCUGUUGGUCCUGUAACUACUACUUUCGCCUCAAAGAUUGCCACUGAUCAGCUUUCAUGUCUAUAACAUGAUUAUCUAGCUACAUGUGCUCCAUCUCUCCUGUUUUGUUCUAUUACAAAUGUCACUUUCUUCACUAAUCACGGUCAUUAGCAUAAAAAGGACAGUGGAAGGGACGCCACCUACCUGGCACCGC
rnacentral:rRNA from 1 species